rnacentral:rRNA from 1 species
GACGAACGCUGGCGGCGUGCUUAACACAUGCAAGUCGAACGGAAAGGCCCUGCUUUUGUGGGGUGCUCGAGUGGCGAACGGGUGAGUAACACGUGAGUAACCUGCCCUUGACUUUGGGAUAACUUCAGGAAACUGGGGCUAAUACCGGAUAGGAGCUCCUGCUGCAUGGUGGGGGUUGGAAAGUUUCGGCGGUUGGGGAUGGACUCGCGGCUUAUCAGCUUGUUGGUGGGGUAGUGGCUUACCAAGGCUUUGACGGGUAGCCGGCCUGAGAGGGUGACCGGCCACAUUGGGACUGAGAUACGGCCCAGACUCCUACGGGAGGCAGCAGUGGGGAAUAGUGCACAAUGGGCGGAAGCCUGAUGCAGCAACGCCGCGUGCGGGAUGACGGCCUUCGGGUUGGAAACCGCGUUCGCCUGUGACGAAGAGUGAGUGACGGUAAUGGGUAAAGAAGCACCGGCUAACUACGUG